rnacentral:miRNA from 1 species
ACGUCCGGCAGGUUUUACCCCU